rnacentral:lncRNA from 1 species
UAUAGAGGGGAGAAAAUAAAAAAAAAAAUCAAAUAACAUGCAUGUAGUUUUAUUUUUAUCUUUUUUAUUACCAAUUUUAUUAAUUUUUUCGUUAAAUCAGUAAUGAAGUUAAAACUAAAAAAUAUUAAAAUAAAUAUUCGAUAAAUUUAGGUAUGGUAUCUAAAGUUUUUUUAUAUAAUUUAAUAAAAUAUUAACGAAAAAGCUGACGAAAAUAUAAAAAUAAAAUCACUUGAUACUAACUUGAUAUAUUUUAAACCGCAAAAUAUUAAAAUGAAAAAAUACGAAAACAGAAGGGUAGUGUUUGAAGUUUUUCCACUACUAUAUAAAUCAUGAUCUUUGUAUUUUGAUUGGAUAUUAUUGCUGAUUUUGGAAAAGGCAACACAUUAUUAUAGGAGAAUACACUACAGUCGAAUUUGACUAGUAUAAUAAUUUGUUAUCAACUUUUUAUAAUAAUAAAUAUAUUAUUAAAGUGUAGGAGAAUAAUUAUAUAAUAUUUCAAUUUUAGAUGAAUAAAAAAAGCAAUGAUUUCAAAUAAUUGAUCCCUUGGUAUUUGGUAUUCGACAAUAAAUAGCGUAUUUCAAAAAGUAUAAUUUUUUAUAGUUUUGUAAUUUUUAUUUUAUAUAAAAAUCUUUAGUUCAAAAGGAUUUUAAACCAAAAUCUUUUUAAAUUAUACAGUUGAAAAUAUGGUACUUUAUUUUUGAAUAAUGUGCACCUUGCAAUUAAUAUUACACUUUUAAUAAAAAUAUAGCGUUUUCUAUCUUGUUUAACAAGUCGUUAUAAAAUAUCACAAUUGAAAUAGAAGCAACGCACAAAUAUAACACUACAGUUUACAUACAAAAAAAUAUAUUGAAAAUAAGAUUUUUUGAAAAUAAAUUUAUGGUUAUAGUAGUAUUCAUUAUCUGCUACUUCAUUAUUGUAAAAUAAAUUUAUAGUUAUUAUAGUAUUUAUUAUCUGCUACUUUAUUAUUGUACUUUUUAAUUAAAUAGGUGUCCACAUAGUAAAGUUUUCGAGACUUAUUAAAAGUAAAGCAUGUUACAUUUUUUGUAGCAUAAUUAUUUAUGCUUUGCUCGCAUCUUUUAAUUUAUGUCAAAUAAAAAUUCAAAAACUGUUUAAUAAUAAAUAAUAUUUUUGUAUGAUUUGAAGUUUAUAGAUAUUGUAGAAAUAAUGUAUUUAAGUGAAAGAAUAGUGGAGAAUAAGAAGGGACAUGCUUAUUUCAAAUGAAUACACUGCCCAAACUAUGACACAAGUAAAAAAUCAAUAUGAAGGUUAGAUUGAAGUAGAUUUAAGUGCCAGUGAAUUAGAGUUUAAAUAAAAAUUAAUUUUCUUUAUGUACUUGUUGGUGUAGAUGUGGAACUAAAUUUCUCGGUGAGUGAAUGAUGUAAAAACUGGAGAUGAAAGAAAUAGGUUAAUAUAUGAUUAUUAUUAUUAUUUUUCUUAAUUAACUUCGGCUUGGAGUGAGUCGAAGUCAGUUAUAUUAUUUCGAAUAACUUGAGUUUCAACUGAAAAUAAAACUGCCGUUAACUGAAUAAUGAAAAUGUAUGCUUAUGAUUAGAAACUAUUUUAUUCAAUCUCUAAUUGCGGUAAAGUAAACAUACAUUAAGGUCCUGUUUGGUUGCAUGAUAAAAUGGUAUUCCCAUUUUAUCCUGUUUAUUCUACCAAACACUCUGUAAAUUUGUGGGUUUAGUUUAUGUUGGUCUUAACGGGUUAUUCAAGGAUAACCCGUUAAGAUCAAUCCCUCCUCACCAGCAGAAUAGGCGAGCUUCGCCGGGUUAUCCCAGGGGCAUGGUUGGAAAAUACAUCUCCUCCUUCGUUGAUGCGCCAUACCUACUUUUCCUCCUGGCUCAUUACUCCUUCGCCGCUACCCUGCCUUCUCGUGUGAGACGCCUUCUUCCUCUUCUUUGCUUCGCGUUUUUUUUUUUGCUCAGAGUAUUCGCGUUAAAAACGGAUUUUCCGAAUUAUAUUCCGAAAAAUUCGGAUUGAGUGGCAGUGGAAAGACGAAAUUUUUCAAAAAAAAAAAAAAGAUUGGGCGGCUGCAGAAAGAUAAAAUUUUAUAUGAUGCGUGACUACCGCUCCGCAGAUCCGUGUACCUCGUCAUGAGCAGCCGAGCAACCUUGCUGUUUGAUUUUGAAGAAAAAAUGAAGGCAGAGCUACAGAAAAAGAAGAAAAAGAGAAAAGGCGAGGAGGACGAAAAUCACGACGUAUGGAAACGGUGCGGUUGGAAAAUGGCGGGGUCCACGAGGCUGAGUGCAGCCUCGUGGACUAUAUGGAGGACCUCUCACUCCCACUUUGUGUUUGUGUUUGUGUUUGUAUAUAUAUAUGUAUAGAACUAGGCUAUUACACUAUGAAUAGCACCAAGUCAUUGGUACUGCCAAGUUUUUGGCCAUUGGAUUAAGAGAUGUGCGGUUAGGAUGAUGUGGGUCCCCUAGAGUUGAGUGGGUGAUUGGUUGAAUAGCAUAAUCUAACGGAUGAAAAUGAUUAAAAGGGUAGAUCUAACGGUGGAAAACUUGGUAGCACCAAGUGUUUCGUACUAUUAAUAGCAUAGUAGCCUAGUUCUUUCUAGCACCAAGUCAUUGAUGCUACCAAGUUUUUGGCCAUUGGAUUAAGAGAUGUGUGGUUAGGAUGAUGUGGGCCCUUUAGGUUUGAGUGGGUGGUUGGUUGAAUAGUAUGAUCUAACGGGUGAAAAUGAUCAAAAGGAUAGAUCUAACGGCGGAAAACUUGAUAGCACCAAGUUCUUCGUGCUAUUAAUAGCAUAGUAACCGGACUCUCUCUUUCUAUAUAUAUAAUUUUAUUUUUAUAUUUAUAAGAAUUAUAAUUAUUUAUGUUAAUAGUAUAAAUCUAAAAAAUAAUUUAAUUUAACAGAUGAAUUUUUGUUCCGAAUUUUUAAAUAAUAAACAUAAAAUUCUUGUUUAAAUUGCGUAUAUGAAUUAUUGACGAAUCCAAUUUUUAAACCGUAUUUUGUAACGAAUUUAAAAAUUAAAAUACAAAUUUUAUUCGUAUUUUAUCCAUACCGAAUUUUUACCAUAUCCGAAUUAACUACUUAUGUUCUUGCUUGCUUGCGAUUCAUAUGUAUAUUAUAAAUUAUACUAAGCAUUGUGUUAUGUUAUAAUGUUUAGUUUUAUGUAAUUGUAAAAUUUAUAGUAGAUUUAAGCACUAUGGUAUAAUUAAGUAGUGAAUUAAUUUUCUCAAGUUUGG